AGCUCACUUCCAAAAUCUGCUCUGGGCUAUCUCAGUGAGACUGAAGUCCUAGGAAGUUCAGACAUUUUUCUCAAGUUUCCAGUGAUGGCAAAUGGCAGAGGCAAUGGGCUCACAAGGAGGUCUAGGGCCGCCACCGCCCACUUGAAGAGCAGACAGCUGGGAAAGCUGGCUACAUGAGUCAGCUUAAGGGAAGGGCUCUGGGUUCCGGGUUGCUUGGAACUGAUGACAGCAGUGAACUGGGACAAGUCAGAGUAUGUGAGAUGCUGGGGCUGCUGGAGGCGCCGCACCUGGGGCCGACACCUGGUCCUCUCGAACAGACAGACUCUCUCUAGAGUGCUUCAGCUCUGUCAUUCACUGCCUGAUACUUCCUUCAGAGGGACAGCACCCUGUAUGUAGCUAUGCAGCAGGAAGAGUUAGGACUUCGGGUUCUCCUGCUUAUUUUAGCUCGGUAAGCAGUUAGUCAAAAUAAUGGUUUAUAUUUGCAGAUGGACUCUGAAGCUCUCUUGCAGUAAUCACAUCCCAGCGUUACCCGUCACCUUUCUAAGCAGGAUUGAUGUUACUUAUUGUGGUGUCACUAUAACCCCGGGUGGGACUUUAUUGCUUCUGUGUUAGAGAUGUAGAGAUCUAAGUGAGUAUAACCAGUCAGUGCAUGGGGAGUCCAGACCCAGGUCAGAGACCUGGUGAAAUAUUCUACAUGCUUUUCCCACACUGCACCUGGGACUUAGACUUGACUCUUUCAUUGUUUCUUGUUUGAAAGUAGGUCACUAUAUUCUCUAGCUUAUCCUCUAAUUCCUGGGCUCAGGUCAUCCCUCUGCCUCAGCCUCCCCAGGAGAUGCCUUGAACUUGACCUUGAAGGCUGUGAUGGUUGUAAUAGUUUUCCCAUUGCUGUGGCAAAAUGUCUGACAUGAUCUGUGUCAGCACCGAAGACCUUAUUUUGAUUCACAGCGUGGGAGGUCAUGGUGGGGGAGCUUGGCGCCGCUGGUCACAGUGCAUUCCCAGUAAGAGAGCAGAGAGAGAUGGGUUCCCCUCCUCAGUUUGCUUCCUCCUGUUUAUCUAGUCUGGAACCCCAGCCUAAGGUACGGCGCUACUCACAUUCAGGGGGAGUCUCUUCUCUUGGGGCAACCCUUUCUGGAAAUCACCCUCAUAGAUACAUCCGGACCUGGAUUUUCCAUGGUGGUUCUAAAUCCCUUCAGAUGGCGAUACAUUACGCCAUUCCUUUCCAUUGACCCAAACUGUAGAAACUCAUCAAUGAAGCGUCAUACGGGGAUCUACCAGAGGUGUCAUCUUCUGUUCGUUUUGAGAAAAUGUCCCACUACAUAGCCCAACUAUGUACGUAGUCGGCUAAACUAUGUAGCUCAGGUUAGCCUCUAACUUACAGCAAUCCUCCUGCCUUAACAUCCCUAGGAUGGGGAUUACAGGCCGGAGCCCUCAUAUUUGGAACUAUGAGGCCUUCGUGAGAAGUUACCUGUGAGAAAUAGCAAACUCUUUGCACCGACAUAUUUGUCUCAAUUUUAGGAGAUCAGAGAUCUGAAGCUAAGACCCUGCCUGUAUAAUGGUAAGAACAUCCCUCUCCAGAAGCUGGACAGUCUCCGGUGUUCUUAUUGCUACAAAGUUGCUCCUUCAACAAGCCUGAUCCUGACUUUCCCCCCUGCCUUGCUCACCAGAUGAAUGUAGAAACCACAGGUCUAAGCUUCCUCAUCCAUGUUUGAGAAUGCUGCUUACAGCAUCUCUGGUCCUCCGGGACUAGAUAGCACAUCCCUUUGUUAGUUAUUCUUCACCCACCGGUAGGUCAGUGUCUUCCUUGAACUCCCGGAAUUAGAGCACAAUCAAGAACUGAACACAGGCUUCUAGCUGCAGCCUCUUCCUUUGGUCUGGAUAUAUCCCAGAUCCAGGGCUUCUAUCCUCAGAGUCUGUUCUGGCUUAAAACCUUACGUUAUUUUGAAAUCUAACACAACUAUGGGAAAGGACACACAACACAACAGGCAAUCCUGUGAAUAGACCCAAAGCAAACAUCCCUGUAGCCAUUCUUGACCACCAGGUGAAGAACAUUGCCCACUUAAACCUAAGCUCAGUGAGCACUAGUCCUGAAGAUAACUUCUACUCGAACUUGUUUGUUUUGCAGUGCUGGAGAAGAUCUAAGCUCCAGAUCUGCCUUCUUGGGUAUCCUAAAUCUUUCAUCACCUAAAAAUGUCCUAGCUAACUCUAGGAACCUAAAAAAACUAUAGUUUUCCUUGGGGCUUUCAAUUUCAUGUGAAUGAAAUGAUCAAAAUCAGCAUCCUUAAGUAUCUGGCUUAGUUUCCUCAAUAGUACGUUUGUGAGAUUCACUCAUACGGUACAAGUAAGUAGCUUAGUUUCCUUGUAUUCCUGAAACCUCUAGCUUGCAUGAAUAAACUGUAAUUUUAUCUACUGUUAACAGAUACAUGAGUUUUGGAAGUUAUAAUCAAAACUACUAUGACAGCUGCUUUGGGUUGUAUGUGAUGCAGUUAGAGCCAGAUACACCAAAAGAACUCUUCUGUCUUCAGCUUAGAAGCAAUAGGUUCUGUAUCCUUGCCAACACUUAGUGUUAUUAAUCUUUUCAUUUUUAGCUACUCUGGUGGUUAUAAAUUUUACUUUCACAAUGGGUAAUGCAGCUGAGCCCAUUUUCAUCUAUGCAUAUUUGUCAUUUGCUGAGGUAAGCAUUUGGCAGCCUGACACUCGUUUGACUCAUACUGAGUCUGCAGCCAAGUGAACUCUCUUGACAGCUGAUGAUGUUUAGUCAUCUCCUGUUUACUUCAGUUGGGUUUGGGGUCCUCAGAGUGGGUUCAGGCUUCCACCAUUCUACUGCCGGCUAAUAUCCACUGAGUGCCCACUUGUCCCGGCACUGAACUAGAAUAUCAUGUGCAAAAUUGCUCUUACUCCUUACAACCAGCAUGUGACGCCGAUACCACUAUCAUCAUCUUCACUUCACAAAAGAAGGAGUUACGGUGGGGGCAAGGUAACUUAUCUACAAUGUCACCACUCACAAGCGGUGGGAUCUAGAUCGAAAUGAGUAUCCGAAGCUGCUUUAAUGUGCUGCUUCCAAAGAGGAAAACGUUGAAGACUUAACACUGUAAACACGGGAUGUGCCUAAUCCUGGAGUGACUUGGUGCUCCAGGGAAGGGACAUGCCCUGGGGUUGCACCCUCUUAGAGUCGAAAGGGAGAGGGAACGGGGUGAAGAACUCUUGGAGGGGGGAACUUGAAGUGGGGGCAACAUUUGGGAUGUAAAUAAAUAAAAUAAUUAAUU
ensembl:antisense